rnacentral:rRNA from 1 species
AGCGAACGCUGGCGGCAGGCCUAAACAUGCAAGUCGAACGCCUGUAGCAAUACAGGAGUGGCAGACGGGUGAGUAACACGUGGGAACGUACCCUUUGGUUCGGAACAACACAGGGAAACUUGUGCUAAUACCGGAUAAGCCCUUACGGGGAAGGAUUUAUCGCCAGAGGAUCGGCCCGCGUCUGAUUAGCUUGUUGGUGAGGUAACGGCUCACCAAGGCUACGAUCAGUAGCUGGUCNGA